CAGUCGAGGGGCAGCAUGGGGGAGUAGCAAUACUCUCUGAUGGCGACCGGCGCAAGGGUGCGUAACGCGUGAGCAACUUGCCCUCAUCAGGGGAAUAAUCGCUGGAAACGGCGUCUAAUGCCCCAUGGUGAUGUCCUCAGGCAUCUGAGGUCAUCUAAAGAUCCGUCGGAUGGGGAUAGGCUCGCGUGACAUUAGCUAGACGGCGGGGUAACGGCCCACCGUGGCGACGAUGUCUAGGGGUUCUGAGAGGAAGGUCCCCCACACUGGAACUGAGACACGGUCCAGACUCCUACGGGAGGCAGCAGUGAGGAAUAUUGGUCAAUGGGAGAGAUCCUGAACCAGCCAAGCCGCGUGAGGGAAGACGGCCCUAUGGGUUGUAAACCUCUUUUGUCGGAGAACAAAACCCGGGACGAGUCCCGGACUGCGUGUAUCCGAAGAAAAAGCAUCGGCUAACUCCGUGCCAGCAGCCGCGGUAAUACGGAGGAUGCGAGCGUUAUCCGGAUUUAUUGGGUUUAAAGGGUGCGUAGGCGGUCCGUUAAGUCAGCGGUAAAAUUGCGGGGCUCAACCCCGUCGAGCCGUUGAAACUGGCAGACUUGAGUUGGCGAGAAGUACGCGGAAUGCGCGGUGUAGCGGUGAAAUGCAUAGAUAUCGCGCAGAACUCCGAUUGCGAAGGCAGCGUACCGGCGCCAGACUGACGCUGAGGCACGAAAGCGUGGGGAUCGAACAGGAUUAGAUACCCUGGUAGUCCACGCAGUAAACGAUGAAUGCUGGUUGUCCGGGUCGAAUGAGACCUGGGCGGCGA
rnacentral:rRNA from 1 species